CCCCGACUAGCUCAGUCAGUAGAGCAUGUGACUCUUGAUCUCAGGGUUGUGAGUUCAAGCCCCACACCGGGUG
rnacentral:tRNA from 1 species